GUGAACGCUGGCGAUAGGCCUAACACAUGCAAGUCGAACGGCAGCACAGUAAGAGCUUGCUCUUACGGGUGGCGAGUGGCGGGCGGGUGAGGAAUACAUCGGAAUCUACUUUUUCGUGGGGGAUAACGUAGGGAAACUUACGCUAAUACCGCAUACGACCUACGGGUGAAAGCAGGGGAUCUUCGGACCUUGCGCGAUUGAAUGAGCCGAUGUCGGAUUAGCUAGUUGGCGGGGUAAAGGCCCACCAAGGCGACGAUCCGUAGCUGGUCUGAGAGGGUGAUCAGCCACACUGGAACUGAGACACGGUCCAGACUCCUACGGGAGGCAGCAGUGGGGAAUAUUGGACAAUGGGCGCAAGCCUGAUCCAGCCAUACCGCGUGGGUGAAGAAGGCCUUCGGGUUGUAAAGCCCUUUUGUUGGGAAAGAAAAGCAGCAGGUUAAUACCCCGCUGUUCUGACGGUACCCAAAGAAUAAGCACCGGCUAACUUCGUG
rnacentral:rRNA from 1 species